rnacentral:lncRNA from 1 species
GGGGUCAAUGGCCGCCCUUUCCAGUUAACUAGGUGGACCCCAGUUAAGCGUCUGUCUCGGUUAGCGUCACUUCAGCUGCAACCGGUCCGCGGUAGACGCUGGUUUUUUCUCCUGGUCCGAGUAGGCCCAGUUCCGCCUUUCCGGCCGCUAGACAGUCUCGGAGGCCCUUCCCAUUUACUUUGGGAGCCCCGACGGCGAGCGGCGGCGGCAGCCACCAAGGUUCGGCUUCAGCAUCGACUGCUGACGCCACUACUCGUUCAAGCACCAUGCUGUUUACUUCAGUGUCAGAUGCUUCUACCUCCACUGUUGCUUCUGGGUUCUCAUUUGUUUCCCCAACAACUUCAAAUGGAGCAUUUGGUGGUUUAACUUUGGGAUUUGGAUUCAAAUUUCCUGGAAUGGGUGGAGGAGCUCAUACUGUAUCUACUACAGCAUCAACAACGACCACCACCACUGUCACUACUACCACUACGACUACCACAACCACCAGUGGCUUUGCUUUGAAUCUAAGAUCACUGGCAUCAGCUGGGAUUAAUAGCAUUGUUCCAGUCGGUAUUAAUUCCAUACCUUUUACUUCGACUGUUAAGUAAGCCUGUUUAUUUGAAAAUUUGUGUGAAUUUCAUUUUAUUUAUC